UCCUGCCUCUCCCAUCUCCUCAUUGGUUUAUAGAAGCAGGUACCCACGUGCCAUCUCCUCAUUGGUUAUGCCCACGUGGGUGACUGAAAGACGAACGAAGUCAGUGGCGGUAAUGCACCUAAUUUAUGAAAGUUGCCAAUCGCAAUAUAAAGUCAAGAGAAGAAAAAGGCUGGAAGGAGGAGAGAUGACUAGAAACGAUUCGGUUGACCGUUAUAUGUGUGGAUUAAUUGCCGGAGUAGAGGACCUUGUGCAUUUCAGGUAAAAUAACAACUCAAUGUUUAUAUCCCAGGACAAAUUAGCCAGCAACAGCAAGCUAGCUAAAAAGGUCAAAUUAGCUAUCAAGUGCAAGCUAGCUAGCUAAAUUGCCAUAAAUGUUUAAUGCUUUUCGACCUGUCCCCAAAUUAAUAUAAUUGGUUCAGAGUUUGUUUAGAUAUUUGAACCUGCGUGUUGUGAUCACAUUUGGUGUGGGGGGACAAAAUACAUUGAUGCACGCUGGCGCACAAUGGGGCACGCACGCAGCCGGUUUGGGUUCCGUGUUAUAAUAAAUGUUUCGACAAAGAGUCAAACAUGCCUUUUCCCUCGACGAAUAUGAAACCCACCAGAUCAGAUGCAUUCAAGAUGAAAGUUGUGCCACCAAUGAAAAAUGAAGAAGGGAAUAAAACUGCAAAGUGGAAAAGUCAAAGUGGACUCAGAGGCUAUGCAAAAAGAUAUGAAGCUGCAAGAAAACAAAACAACAUUUGAAACAUAACGCAAAGCCUUUCAAGAAUUGCAGGUAUGUACCACAGUACCAGUACAUGUUAAGGUAUAGGCCUAUAUUGAAAUGACAGAGUGAAAAUGCUACAGUCCUUUAAAAAAGUGUAUUAUUAUUGUUAUUGUAUUUUCCUUUAUCUUUCCGUUCGGAAAUGAAAGCCUCACUAUUAAACUAGAAGAUCAGAGCAGUGAGAAUGAUGAUCCGUUGAACAGGUAUGUAUUUGAUUACAACAUGAUACUUUCACUAUAGAUUGUAUGAUCAUUCUGCUUUUAUCUGGCGCGUUUAUUUCUCGAACAGAAACAAUGCAACAUGGAACAUAAGUCAUAUACUGAAAGAUACGUUUGAAAGAUCAGCGGAGAAAGUCCAUCUACAUAAGUAAAACAUGCCGUCUUGUCAGCCUGUGUACAUGCUAGUACCUAAAUGCAAAAUGAGGACAUGUUGUGGUCUACGUUGUCCUCAAACUAACCUAUGUUCUCUUAGAGAAAAAACCCAUCACAUGUUCAUGGACAGAAGAUCAAAUAUUUUUUGUCACAUGCGCCGAAUACAACUGGUGUAAACCUUACCGUGAAAUGCUUACUUACAAGCCCUUAGCCCUUAACCAACAAUGUCCGGGGGUACAGGUUAGUCGAGGUAGUAAUCGCUGUUCUGAUAUCCUGAAGCUCUUUUCGGUCUUAAGAGAAGGUAGCAGAAGCAUUAUGUACAAAAUAAGUUACAAACAAUGAGAAAAAACACACAUAAUAGCAUAAUCAGUUAGGAGCCGGUAAAACGGCAGCCAUCCCCUCCAGCAUCAUUAUCACAGUGAAAGUACUCAGAGGAUGAAUGCUGCCUUUAAGAGCCUACGUAUUCAAGCAGAAACUGACCGCCAUGAGAUGCUGAAAGAUGAAAAGGAAGAACAAAAAAGAAAGACUUCAGUAAAUCCUGUUCAACCUCUAUGAAAGCCAAGAGAGUUGCAAAAGUUUACAAGAGGCAGCAAAGCAACAUCAGGAAGCCCUACAAAGUUCCAAACAAGAACAAGAAUCCCUGUUAGAGUCUGCAAAGUGCCGAACAGCUCAAUAAAGACUUUGAAGAGAGAUUAAAGAAAAGAAAGACAGCCAGCUACAACUCCUUGAAGAUGAACUGGAUGUCAAAACAAAAUCCAUACAGUCACAAAGUUGUUGAGACCAGAACAUCAGAACUCACCACAGAGUUUAAGAUGAAACAUGCUGAAAUUCACUAAUUCAAGAAUAAAGUCUGCUGAAAACAAUUUACUGGAAAAGGCUCUUGAAAAGGCUGAGACGAUGCAAAACUAUUUGAAGGAAAAAGCCAAUAUGACUGAGAGGAAAAUACAAGAGAUUGAGGGGCAGUUAUCUGCUGCAAUGAGAAGAGAUGAAAAAUCCAUCAAGGAAAAAGAUAAUCUAAAGACAGACAUUGUACAACAUGAGGUGAAGUAUGAAGAGCUAUCAGCAAGUUUCAAUCAGCUGCAACUUGAGAACAAGACUAUGCUGGAGAAGAUGCAGAAUGAAUCCUCAGAGGCAACCCUUCUUGUAGCACGACUAAAAGAGAGGGAGGCAAAAGAUGAAGAUGAAGGAAAUUGAAAGACUCCAGGAGGAAAACCAUCAAUUAUGAGAGGAUUUGAAAUCCUAAAAUGACAAAGUUGAAGAGCAAGGUGAAGACACUGAGAAUCUGCAGAAGAAACUUGGAAAAAGUGUACAGGAGCUACAGCUUCGAGCUACAGAGGCCGUCAAGAGUAAGGAAGAUGCUGAAGUCAAAUGUCAGAACAAGACGCAGACAUGGUUGCCGUGACAGAAAGCACAAGGUUAAGUUCUCUGUUGGUAUCAGAACCACUAUGACAAAAUGGUUGAUGAGAAAGAUGCAGAGCUUGAUGAGAAGAAGAGGAAAGACAUGGAGGCAGCUGUUAAUAGAACAUCACUGCAGAACAUGGAGAAUGGCCAUUUGAAGGAACAACUGGAGAAAGAAAUGAAGGAGAGGGAAAGCUGACUACAGGAGAUUACAGGCCUGGAAAAAGAGACGGCGUGUCAGAAAAUGAGCAGGCAACUGGAGACACAGGAUAAACAGGUGUUCUGAAACACUCAGCCACGAUGCCUGAGGACAGUCACACAAAGCCUCUGUAACCCAAUCCCAAAGCUCAGACAAAAGAGAUGCUGUGACUCCAAACAUUAAUGAAAUGGAAAGCGAAGCCCCAAGAACGCAAUCUUGGAGCUUUAUGACUACAGUUAGAGCAACAUCGCAAAUGAAGGAAAGCAAAGCUCUCAAAACUCCAUCUUGGCGUUCCCCCAGUACAGCUGGUGCAACACCACGGAUUAAGUCUUACAGAAUCAGAACUCCUCCGUCCGCUGGGAAGUCUGUGCCCUGGGGGAAGAGCACACUGGAGCUUGACCCCAAGUCUGACAGCUCUGAACAUAAAGAUUUAUAUGAUCGAUCUAAUGAACACACUGCUUUAACUUUAAUAAUACUGAAAACAUUGGAUUGGCCUAAAACUCAGAAUGUAUUAUGAAAUACCACCCAAUUCCCAAUGACCACAAAUAAGUUUUAACUCAUGACUUUAUAAUGCAUGCUGUAUGGAAUGCACAUUUUCAUUGUGGGAAUAAUUUUUCUUUAAAUAUCACAUCUUUUAAGUUGGAUGUCUUUCUGGUUAUUAUAAUGGCAGAGCUUUGCAGUUGCAACUGAUCCAUUCAAAAGCCGCCUGCAGCCAAGUGUCCCAGCAGCACAGCAUCAAAAUGUGGACAUAUUGAGGAACGAAUGAGCCAGCUGAACUUACAUUACCACCAAAUACUUGAUUUACUUGGCAAUACUCCCUCUGCAUUAUGAAAUAAGUUGUGAAAUACCAUAUUGCAUUAUAGUAUAGUCUGUACUCGGCAACUUCUAAAAUAUAGUCUGUAACUUGUAAAAGUAGUUAAUGCAAUUUUUUUUACAAUUUUCAGGUCACUAUUAGCCACUUCCACUGGUUUGCUUCAGCUUCACUCCUGUUUUAUACUAUCGUAAUGUUUCAGAUCCAGAGCCCUGUUGUUCAGAAAUCACUUGGGAGUGCUUUAAAGCUCGCUGCAAUGAAAAGGAUGCAGGAUGCUGGUUGGACAGCUGUCGCUGGUGCUGACAAGGAGAAGAAAAACAUCAAGUGCUUUUCAAAAUUGAUCGUUUUUUGUGUGUGUGACAAAUGUGGACAUUCAAUAUGCUCUUUUCAUUACACCACUGCUCUCAAGUUCAUCCAUGUCUAUAGUUGUCUGAUGCUGGGAAAUCUGUUGACCGAAAUAGACAUUUAAAAUGCAAGUCAAAACAAUUUGAAAUGACCCAGGUAUAUUAUCUUGUUUUGAUGUUACUGUUUAGCCACAUUACUCACUUUAUUAAUGGAAAAAAUGGAAAAUGCUUGUUUUGAACAGACUUGCCACCUUUGACUCCAUUCAACAUAAAUAAGUUCAAGUGUUUGUUCAUAACAUUGUUGUUUUUGCUUGUGCUGUUUUUAUGUUCCUACAUAUGACAUUUGUCAACAUUGUGUUAUUUACAGUGGUGUAAAGUACUUAAGUAAAAAUACGUUAAAGUACUACUAAAGUAGUUUUUUGGUAUCUGUACUUUACUUCACUAUUUAUAUUUUUGACAACUUUUACUCCACUACAUUCCUAAAGAAAACUAUGGACUUUUUACUGCAUACAUUUCGAAUGCUUAGCAGGACAUGAAAAUGGUGCAGUUCACGCACUUAUCAAGAGGUCAUCCCUACUG
rnacentral:lncRNA from 1 species